rnacentral:rRNA from 1 species
GCUUCCAGGAAAAGUCUCUAAGCUUCAGUUACACAGGAAUCGUACCCGAAACCGACACAGGUGGUCAGGUCGAGUAGACCAAGGCGCUUGAGAGAACUCUGCUGAAGGAACUAGGCAAAAUGGUACCGUAACUUCGGGAGAAGGUACGCUGUUGUUGGUGAUGGAACUCGCUUCCUGAGCUGACGACAGCCGCAGAAACCAGGCCGCUGCAACUGUUUAUUAAAAACAUAGCACUCUGCAAACACGAAAGUGGACGUAUAGGGUGUGAUGCCUGCCCGGUGCUGGAAGGUUAAUUGAUGGGGUUAGCGUAAGCGAAGCUCUUGAUCGAAGCCCCAGUAAACGGCGGCCGUAACUAUAACGGUCCUAAGGUAGCGAAAUUCCUUGUCGGGUAAGUUCCGACCUGCACGAAUGGCAUAAUGAUGGCGGCGCUGUCUCCAGCAGAGGCUCAGUGAAAUCGAAAUCGCUGUGAAGAUGCAGUGUACCCGCGGCUAGACGGAAAGACCCCGUGAACCUUUACUGCAGCUUGACACUGAACUUUGACCUUACUUGUGUAGGAUAGGUGGGAGGCUUUGAAGCUGGAACGCUAGUUCCAGUGGAGCCGUCCUUGAAAUACCACCCUGGUAAUGUUGAGGUUCUAACUCUGUCCCGUGAUCCGGGACGAGGACCGUGUCUGGUGGGUAGUUUGACUGGGGCGGUCUCCUCCUAAAGAGUAACGGAGGAGUACGAAGGUGCGCUCAGCGUGGUCGGAAAUCACGCGUAGAGUAUAAAGGCAAAAGCGCGCUUAACUGCGAGACCCACAAGUCGAGCAGGUACGAAAGUAGGUCUUAGUGAUCCGGUGGUUCUGUAUGGAAGGGCCAUCGCUCAACGGAUAAAAGGUACUCUGGGGAUAACAGGCUGAUACCGCCCAAGAGUUCAUAUCGACGGCGGUGUUUGGCACCUCGAUGUCGGCUCAUCUCAUCCUGGGGCUGAAGCAGGUCCCAAGGGUAUGGCUGUUCGCCAUUUAAAGAGGUACGCGAGCUGGGUUUAGAACGUCGUGAGACAGUUCGGUCCCUAUCUACCGUGGGCGCUGGAAAUUUGAGAGGAUCUGCUCCUAGUACGAGAGGACCAGAGUGGACGAACCUCUGGUGUACCGGUUGUGACGCCAGUCGCAUCGCCGGGUAGCUAUGUUCGGAAGGGAUAACCGCUGAAAGCAUCUAAGCGGGAAGCCUACCUCAAGAUAAGAUUUCCCUAGGACUUUAUGUCCUCUAAAGAGCCGUUCGAGACUAGGACGUUGAUAGGUUGGAUGUGGAAGCAUAGUGAUAUGUGAAGCUGACCAAUACUAAUUGCUCGUGAGGCUUGACUAU